GGAAGCACCGGCUAACUCCGUGCCAGCAGCCGCGGUAAUACGGGGGGUGCAAGCGUUGUUCGGAAUUAUUGGGCGUAAAGCGCGUGUAGGCGGUCUGAUUAGUCUGAUGUGAAAGCCCUGGGCUCAACCCAGGAAGUGCAUUGGAUACUGUCAGACUUGAAUACGGGAGAGGGCAGUGGAAUUCCUAGUGUAGGAGUGAAAUCCGUAGAUAUUAGGAGGAACACCGGUGGCGAAGGCGGCUACCUGGACCGAUAUUGACGCUGAGACGCGAAAGCGUGGGUAGCAAACAGGAUUAGAUACCCUGGUAGUCCACGCCGUAAACGAUGAGAACUAGGUGUCGCGRGKMACKUGCCAC
rnacentral:rRNA from 1 species